rnacentral:tRNA from 1 species
GCGGGCGUGGCGAAAUGGCAGCCGCGCGGGCUUUAGGUGCCCGUGUUCGAAAGAACGUGUGGGUUCGACUCCCUCCGCCCGCACCA